rnacentral:rRNA from 1 species
GAUGAACGCUGGCGGCGUGCCUAAUACAUGCAAGUCGAGCGAACAGACGAGGAGCUUGCUCCUCUGACGUUAGCGGCGGACGGGUGAGUAACACGUGGAUAACCUACCUAUAAGACUGGGAUAACUUCGUGAAACCGGAGCUAAUACCGGAUAAUAUAUUGAACCGCAUGGUUCAAUAGUUAAAGAAGGUUUUGCUGUCACUUAUAGAUGGAUCCGCGCCGCAUUAGCUAGUUGGUAAGGUAACGGCUUACCAAGGCAACGAUGCGUAGCCGACCUGAGAGGGUGAUCGAGCACACUGGAACUGAGACACGGUCCAGAAUCCUACGGGAGGCAGCAGUAGGGAAUCUUCCGCAAUGGGCGAAAGCCUGACGGAGCAACGCCGCGUGAGUGAUGAAGGUCUUCGGAUCGUAAAACUCUGUUAUUAGGGAAGAACAAAUGUGUAAGUAACUAUGCAAGUCUUGACGGUACCUAAUCAGAGAGCCACGGCUAACUACGUG